GGGCCUGUAGCUCAGCUGGGAGAGCGCUGCGUUCGCAAUGCAGAGGUCAGGAGUUCAAAUCUCCUCAGGUCCACCA
rnacentral:tRNA from 1 species